rnacentral:rRNA from 1 species
GAUCAUGGCUCAGAUUGAACGCUGGCGGAAUGCUUUACACAUGCAAGUCGAACGGUAGAGGGGGCAACCCCUUGAGAGUGGCGAACGGGUGAGUAAAGCAUCGGAACGUGCCCAGUCGUGGGGGAUAACGUAGCGAAAGUUACGCUAAUACCGCAUACGAUCUACGGAUGAAAGCGGGGGACUCGCAAGAGCCUCGCGCGAUUGGAGCGGCCGAUAUCAGAUUAGGUAGUUGGUGGGGUAAAGGCUCACCAAGCCAACGAUCUGUAGCUGGUCUGAGAGGACGACCAGCCACACUGGAACUGAGACACGGUCCAGACUCCUACGGGAGGCAGCAGUGGGGAAUUUUGGACAAUGGACGCAAGUCUGAUCCAGCCAUUCCGCGUGCAGGAUGAAGGCCCUCGGGUUGUAAACUGCUUUUGUACGGAACGAAAAGGUUUCCAUUAAUACUGGGAGCUCAUGACGGUACCGUAAGAAUAAGCACCGGCUAACUACGUG